UAAAAACACAGGUCCGUGCGAAGUCGCAAGACGAUGUAUACGGACUGACUCCUGCCCGGUGCUGGAAGGUUAAGAGGACCUGUUAGCCCCCUCGGGGGCGAAGCGGAGAAUUUAAGCCCCAGUAAACGGCGGUGGUAACUAUAACCAUCCUAAGGUAGCGAAAUUCCUUGUCGGGUAAGUUCCGACCUGCACGAAUGGAGUAACGACUUCCCCGCUGUCUCAACCAUAAACUCGGCGAAAUUGCACUACGAGUAAAGAUGCUCGUUACGCGCAGCAGGACGGAAAGACCCCGAGACCUUUACUAUAGUUUGGUAUUGGUGUUCGGUGUGGCUUGUGUAGGAUAGGUGGGAGACUGUGAAGCCCGGACGCCAGUUCGGGUGGAGUCAUCGUUGAAAUACCACUCUGGUCACUCUGGACAUCUAACUUCGGCCCGUAAUCCGGGUCAGGGACAGUGCCUGAUGGGUAGUUUAACUGGGGCGGUUGCCUCCUAAAGAGUAACGGAGGCGCCCAAAGGUUCC
rnacentral:rRNA from 1 species